ensembl:lncRNA
CUCUUGAGUAGGCCCAACACAGCAGCUGUGCAACAGAUGAGUGCUGGUUUCCUGGCUGAAGGAGCAUAUCUCAUCUCUUACUCGGCUUGAAAAUGGUCCUCGUUUCAAUGUGAAGAAGCCAAAAGGAAGUCCUAUUCUAAAUCUACAUUUGCUACAACAGGACCCUGAGAGCCUGACAUCCACAACUACUGAAAACAGUGAGUCAGGUAAGGAGUUUGAACAGUUUACAAGGCAGCAAGAUGGGUUCCAGGGCUCUAACUAAUCUGCAUAAAAAUUAUCAGAAGACAAAUCAAAUCUCUGCUCUCUCUCUCUUUCUCUCUCUCUCUCUCUCUCUCUCUCUCUGUGUGUGUGUGUAUGUGUGUGUCUCUCUCUGUGUCUCUCUCUGUGUCUCUCUGUCUCUGUCUCUCUGUCUUUCUCUGUCUCUCUCUGUCUCUGUCUCUCUGUCUCUCUGUCUCUCUCUGUCUCUCUGUCUCUCUGUCUCUGUCUCUCUCUCUCUGUCUCUCUGUCUCUCUGUCUCUCUGUCUCUCUCUGUCUCUCUCUCUGUCUCUCUCUCUCUCUCUCUCCCACACACACACACACACACACACACACACACACACACACACGUCCACAUAUACUGCCCACUCUCUACCUGGCAGUGGCAUCAGGUUAAUACACAAGAUCAGAAAUAUUCCAUUUUAACUAGAUAUAAUUUUGAGCCCUGAACAGUCUCAUCUAUGUCAAAUUCCAUAUUGGUAACUCACUUUUAUGGUUUAUAUUACUUAGAAUUAAAGACCAGAGAAAAUCCUUUUAAAUAGGCAUGUUAAUUCCAUUGAAAUAAAAUUCCUGUGACCCUCAGGUAAAGUCGGGCAAGAAGGAUGAGAACGGAAGUCUUUUCUGUUAUUGAAAGGGGGAAUUCUACUUGUUGGGAACCUAAAUUUCCAGGCUACUCAGAAGAACUUGUGAAUAUUCCCAAGUCAUCUAGUCAUCUUUUUAACAGAAUAUGAAUUGUAUUGAAGAUUUGGACAACAGCAUAAAGUAUCAAAUGUUGGCAAUGCUAAUUUGCAUAGAUGAAUUUUCUUUCUCCACUUCUAAUGUCCUGGAAGCACAGUAUCUCCCAUUUCUGGUCUAGCUUAUAGUUUGGUUGGUUUGAAUGCUGAACUGUGUAAUGGUCAAGCAGACUUAGAUAUGAUAUACUCGAAGUUUUCUUAGGAACUGCUUUUAGGAUGAAGGAGCCUAGUAGAGCUCACUUGUUUUAGGUUCUUGAAAGACGAUCAAGCAGUAAACAGAGAGGAGCAGAAGAUGCACUACCUUUGGACAGAGGUACUGAUUCUGUUUUUCAUAAGUUAAUUGAGACAAGGUAAAGGCUGGAGAGAUGAGUAAAGAACUUGCAGAGUAAACAUGAGGAUCUAGAUUCGGAUCCUUAGAACUCACAUAGAAGCUGGGCUGGUCAGUGUGUCCGUUAUCCCAAAGCUUCCCUCAAAGGAAUGAAGAGACUCAGAGAAUCGCAGUUGCUUGCUGGCCAGCUACUCUGCUUUACCCAACAACAAUCCACGUGAAGGGUGUCGAUCCAGCUUCCAUAUGUGAAGGAGGCAUGCUCACAUUUGCACUUACACACAAGUAAAUACAGAGAGAGAGAGACAGAGAGAGAGAGAGAGAGACAGAGAGAGACAGAGACAGAGAGAGACAGAGAGACAGAGAGAGGAACACACAGAGAGAGAGAGAGACAGAGAGAGAAACACACACACACACACAGAGAGAGAGAGAGAGAGAGAGAGAGAGAGAGAGAGAGAGACACACACACUUAUGUGUGCACAAAGAUUUUUAAAUGUGUGCAGGCAUAUAAAACAUUUUUAAAAUAUAAGCUCUAAAAUGUGGUAUAUUUAAGUAGAAGAUGAGAAUACCAUUUUUACUAAUAUAUAUUUAUUAAAUAUAGCACAUACCUUGUAAUUCUUCCCUGAAACCAGUAAUUCUUUACAUGUUAAUAUUAUCAUCACUGAGGGUUUCACUGUACUAACAACCCUUCCCAAAUGGACACACAUGAUGUACCCAUAUUUUGUGUAGUCAAUCACUGUUGAAAGUAAUUCUGUAUACUCUCUAGAAGAAACUUCAUAAUAAUAUAUCCAGCACACUAACAUAUUUUACUUUAUAUAUGAGCUGAGGCAACUAGACACUAACACAGGACACACUUCAAAAUCUUUGUGAGGAAUCUUUAUGGAUUUUUAGGUGAGUGAUUUUGUCCUGUAGAAAGAACUAAGUAUUUCAACCCAGAGACGAGAGUCCACUUUGACUAGAAACAAAGAAUAUACUGAAAUUUAGAAGGAACAACCUGGUUUGGUAUACCCCAGCAGAGGGGACAGUGAUAUCGAAGGUCAAAUAUUUUAGUAUUUCGCUAUAGAUGCCCCCAUAUAUCUAUUUAUACUGUAAAAGGUUUUAUGCUGGAGAGUAACAAUACCCAAUAUUCAGAGACACUAUGUCUUUGCUGGCGCUGAACCAGAAAGAACAUCAUGAACUUUAUGGGACAGAACAGGAAGAGAAACUACAAAUAUUCGGUGAGAGACCAAGGCAUUGUUGAGAGGAAGGAUGAGUUCUGAGAAACAGAUAAUUCAGUGGUUAGAUCUCUCUACACACACAAUAGGACCUUAAUUACUGUUUCACUGUAAGUAGUAAUAGAUUCCCAAAGCUCUUCACAGCUCGUGAGGUACUUCUAGAGGACACAGUUGGACCCCACUCUGGGGGAGUUCACAGUAUUGCUAAAUCAAAGUCUAAGAGAAGACUUGGGAUGGAGCAAUCUGCUUGACUCCAUCAGAAAGAAGUCUCCAAAUGUGGGAGGAAACAAACACCGACAUAUUGGCAGCUGUGUGAGAAGACUCUGCUUAUGAGAAGAAUUACCACUCUGUGUUGUGUCCAUCUCCUGUGGGUGUGGCAGUAAUAAACCCCAACUUGUGUGCCCCCACCCUGCCUCUUGUUGGGACAGUUACCCUUCUGCAUUUCCCUCUGCACCCAUCAUUGCACAGAGAUAUAUUGGAGCGAGUGUCAUUCCCUGCAUAGCGGAUUUGGAUAUAUUUUGAUCCAGAAACAUUUCUCUUCUAACACUGUUAAAACCUUUUGGAAAUGACUUAGAAAUUGAUAACACACAGGCAAAAGUUACAAAACAAGAUUAAUUCCAAAGGUGAGAUAUUAUAUAUAAAUUGAUAUUGAACUUUAGUAAUUACUUGAUUCAUGGAAAAAUAAUCCAAAUUAAUUUACUGUUUUAAUCCGUGGUUAAAAAUUAUUCCUAAAAACUGUAUUUGAAUAUUUCUUCUUAAGAAACAUGGGUAUAAUAUUAACAAUUUUUUCGUGGAGUAGCAAUGAACAUAGAGCUUUUUUAUUUUAAGUAAACAAACAAACAAAAACCUUCAAUAUUAGACGAAUGCAAAGGUGUCUGUUUCCCAAAGCAGUGGCACCAAUAAUUACCUUGUAGAGAAUUUGAAACAGAAAAGGGUUUGUUUUCAUUUGGGGGUGUCAUCUGCUAGUGUGUGACAGUUGUGCUUUUAGGGUCAGAUGAAAAUUGUUCAUCAAAGGUCAAGUCCUGUGAGACGUUAUCAGUCUCAUAGCCCAGGGAGCAAACAUUCUUGAGGCUCGUCCUGAACACAGCUUCUAUGGAGAGGUGGAAGUGGUAAGAAACCGUUGAAACAGUGGUUAAGAAGGUAGGUCUUGUGGGCACUGAUGGGAAACAGUCGUUAGGGGAAAGCUGCUUAACCACACAGGAAACAAAAACUCUUGAAAGUGUCCAGCUGUGGAAGAUGAAUUUACACAGAUAACAUUUUAAGCCAGAGCACAUACAAAAUUGGUGGCCAGGAGCAAAUGAAACGGAUAGAGGGAGGAGCUACAGGGGCCACUGCGUAGAGGACCUUGUUGCACAGAAGACCUCUUAGUGCUGCAUUUUAUGAAUCACAUAUAUCCCUGUGUCCCUCUGAAAAAUGUUCAAAAGGCAUUUCUUCAUACAUAAAAUCCGGCAACUCCUUUUUCCCUGUUUUCUUUUUAAUUUAUUCUUUUUUAUUGGAUAUUUUUUAUUUACAUUUCAAAUGUUAUCUCCUUUUCUGAUUUCCAGUCCAUAAACUCCUAUCUCAUCCCCAUCCCCCUUCUUCUAAAAGGCCUUCCCCCACCCAAUCACCCACCCCUUGCCACCUCCCUGCCCUGACAUUCCCCUACACUGGGCAGGAGCAGGAGGUUUCCAGUCUUGGCAGGACCAAGGGCUUCUCCUCCCAUUGGUGCCCAAGAAGGCCAUUCCUUGCUACAUAUGCAGCUGGAGCCGUGGGUCUGUCCAUGUGUACUCUUUGGAUGGUGGUUUAGUCCCUGGGAGCUCUGGUUGGUUGGUAUUGUUCUUAUGGGGUUGCAAGCCCCUUCAGCUCCUUCAAUCUUUCUCUAACUCUUCCAAUGGGGACCCCAUUCUCAGUUGGCUGUGAACAUUCACCUCUGUAUUUGUCAAGCCCGAAAGAAGUGUUUCAACCAAAGCCAUAUUUUAUAAUUGAAUGGAACUUUUAUUGAAAGCCGUAUAAUGGACAUGUUUAUGUCCAUGUUAGCUAUACGCCAACAUUGCACAUAAACACAGAUGCAUACAAUGGAACACUGCAGUGGUAAUAGUGGCAGAAGAGCAACACUUCUCAUUUGCAGCGAACUGUGAUUGCAGAUUGUGGGGAGAUGUCUAUGAGCUGUGGAAUUCCAUUCACAGAUUACCAAACAACCUGCAGGUAAAGUUCUUGUUUCAAAUAGUUCAUGGUCUUGGUAGGCUACCCUCCACAUGCCUUGCAGUUUUCUCAGUACCUUUCACUAAAGCACUCACAAGCAGGAUGAGCUGAGUGGUUUUUGAAGCAAGUUAGUUUAGCUAUUUGUAUUCCCAUGUGCUCGCUCUCUCUCUCUCUCUCUCUUUCUCUCUCUCUCUCUCCCCAUGGAAUCCAUAGCUACUGUUAUAUUUGGAGAUCAUUUCAUAUCUCUAUCAAUCAAUCUAUAUCAAUCUAUCUACCUGUCUUUCAAUCUAUCUAUCUAUCUAUCUGGGCACAGAACUACUCAUAUCUCAUAGAUAAUAAUUUAUUUAUUAUAACAAUACAUCUAUAAAACAAGCACAAAAAUAUGAUCAGAGAUGAGUAUCAUUAUGAAUUCACUAUUAUAUACAAACAAUUUGUAUUAGACAUUGUUUUUGUGUUGCUAACAGUCAAUCCCUCAGCCUCACAAAUGCUAGGCAGAUGCUCUAUCACUCAUCCACAUGUCAAACCCUCUACAUUACAUUCUAACCACGCAUUCUGAGAGGCCACUUGUGUUUGAGGUGUGUAUUUGGAGUUUCUACUGUUCGUGAGAUUUUAAAACUUUGUGUUUGACACCAAGGACACCAUAGAGCUUUACACACGGCCGCAGUGGAAAGGUUUUGUGUAGAAUAGGUGGUCAGACUAGUAGAAGGUAGAGCUUUGUUUAGUUUUAUAAAAAUGAAGAUGUUGGAAUUCGAGUAUGUUAGAAAACAGAAGGACAAACUGGGGAAGGACAAAAAAGGAGUGGGGGAAGAAAAUGCAAACUUUAAGAUAUGCAAAUCUAUUAGCCCACACAUAAGAAAAUUAGAAAAAGUAAAUUAAGCAAAUUGACUCUUUACUUAGCAUGAAUUAAAAUAUCUAUAUGUAUAUAGAUAGUUAUGCAUAUGGAAAAGAAGGGAAAGAGACAAAAUGCAGAAGAAACUGGAAUCAAACUAUUCGCCGCUCAUCUAUCUUUCAUCAAAUUAAAUGAGAUCAAAAUAUUUUUCUACAAACUCAAUCUGAGUAUUUUUGUAUAAAUCAAAGUAAUUAACAGUUAAUUCUACAUCUCUUUUAGUAUUCCUUCUAACAAUCUCAACUGGAUUGCUGCUUAGUUCACUUAUUGUAGCGUGGCUCUGUCGUGCGGUCAUUUAGGGAUAUGCUUGUGUGCAGGACUGCAUUGCUGUGGAAGGCUUGAACUGGGAGCCUUCAAUACGCAUCCCAGUUGGAGAACUGUGCAGAGCAUGUAUCCAAAGAGAUAUCUUUGACUACAUUAAGUAUCAUAAUUCUGGGCAUACCACACAACAUAUUCUUUGUGAAGAGGAAAAUAUUUUAAGUAGUAAGUAUGAAUGUGAAAAUAACAGAAAUUGUUUUACAAAUUGCUUGCCUUCUCCUGAUCUGAAAGGAAAAACAGUGACUGGGAGGGACACUUGAGAAAAGCUAAAAAAGAAAAAAACAUCUAGGGCCAACUAAGUCUUGCUUCUCUGCCUAUAUAAAAUGUGAGAUGUGUCAUGGGUCAUGGCUGGAUUUAGAUUUUUAAGUUUUACUUAUUAUGAUACAAUUUAUAAUAAUAUUCUCCAGAUGCACUGAAUCUCUUACCUAUAAAUCAGACUUGCUCACAUUAAAAGAAAAUCUUGGUUGCAGCUUUUACAAACCUUGGUUACUUUGAAAUCUUUAAGAGUUGAUCCUCAAAUGUGAAAAAUAAAUACUGCUGUAUGAAUUUUUUAUUAUUUUAAUUGGUUGACUUUACCCACGUUAAGAUUAUCGCAAAAAAAAAAUCCAAAUUCAGCCACAUAUUUCUCCAGAUUUAGAAACGUUUAUGAACAAGACCAUUUCUGAAAGGGAAGGCAUAAUAACUUAGCUUUAAAGAUAUAUUUGAAAUAUAGAUAACAUUACAGAUGAAGGAAAUCCUACAAAAUAGUAAUCACUACCAUAGAUAUGUAUAUAACCAAAUGCACAUCUAUUGGCCUGGUUUUUAUCUUGGCAUUACAAAAUUUUAUUUAAAAAGUCUGUGAUGCUUAGCUUUAACUGCCACUCUGAGACAACAUAGGAUUACUCAGAGAGAGGAUCUCUGAAGGACUGGCUACACUGUAUUGGCCUGUGGGCACAUUUAUGGGGUGUGUUGGUUAGGGUUCCCAUUGCUACAAGCAAACACCAUGACUGAAAAGUAAGUUGGGGAAGAAAGGGUUUAUUAACCUUAUUCCUCCACAUUACUGGACCUCAUUUAGGAGGUCAGGGCAGGAAUCAAAACAGGCCAAAAAUCUGGAGACAGAAGCUGAUGCAAAGGUCAUGAAGAGGUCCUGUGAUUGGUUUGCUCUCCAUGGCUUGCUCAGCCUGCUUCUUAUACAUCCCAGGACCACACCCGGGGACAGCACCACCCACCAUGCCCCGCAUCAAUCACUAAUUAUGAAAAUGUUUUACAGCUGGAUCUUACGGCAGCAUUUUCUCAGUUGAGGUUCCCUCCCUUCAGAUAACUUCAGCUUGUGUCAUAUUGAUGUAGACUGGCCGCACAGGAGAUUUAUUAAUUAAGUUCCUUGCUAGGAGAAGAUACAGCCCACUGUAGGUAGCACCUUCCCCUACAUUCCCUAGACAAGCUCUCCUGAACUGUGUGGAGAAAUGCAGCUAAGGAGAGAGAGAGAAGGAGCUACGUCUGCACUCUUCUCUGUCAUCUUGCCUGUGGAUAAGAUGGGACUAGCAGCUGAAGUUCCUGUCAAGUUUGAUUGCCAACAGCAGUGGAUUAUAAUGGGGAGCUGCAAUCUGAAAUAAAACUAUUUCCACCCCAGGUAGCUCUGCUUUCAGGUAUUCUAUCACUAACCAGAAUAUAAAUUGGUACAGAGGCUGUGAAAGACCUGCCCGUGUGGCUUUUGAUAUGCCUCGGCGUGUUUUUAUGGGAAGACUCUGAAAUAUUAGGUACAUUAGUCUGGAUAAGCCAUUGACUGUUAGAAGUAAGGCUUGUUUAAUAGGAUGUUUGAGUUGGAGGUGGGAAGACGGGAACGUUGAAAGAAAUGUGCACACUUGACAAAGACGUGAGGGAAAGGGUUAGGGGCUCUUCGAUCUAAGUGACGUUUUAGCUAAGAGUCUGUGCUGAGGAGACUGAAGCUAGAAAGCAAUUCUGGUUCUCUAGGAAACAAGCAUCACAGAACUGAGACCUCCAGGGCUCUGUCAGGUUAAUAGGAAAGUGUUUCCUUUAGGUCAUCAUCUCCCUUCAUCCUCUGUCAACUUGGCAUAAACAGUUUUAGUACAAAAGGGGAUAUCAACAGCCAGAACAAAUAAAAUCAAAUCCAGCAGAGCAAGUAUCAAACACCUGAGACCGAUGGCUAUCAUCUGAGGCUCCUCUUCAGGGCUUCAAAGACCUCGUGGAGAGCCAUUGCCCUAGGUGCUUGGGCAGAAGGACUUGGCAAAGCAAGUGGCAUCUAUGCGCUACUGCACUUCAAGGUGUGGACCAUAGAGUCAUGAAGAGCAGCUGAGGCUUGGCACAGAGUGGCCUGUUUGCAGUCGCCACAGAAAGGCCAUGAGGAGUCAUUUUGUAGAGCAAUGGAGUUGAAGCCUCCGUAGAAGUGGAGACCCUAGGAGAGUGGAGAUACCAUGACCAUGGGACUUCUGCUGAGGUGAGCUGUAGGUAUACAAUGGAAUGUAUCUAGGCCAAAGAGAAAAGCUAUAUGUGCUACGGAUGGCAGACCUGAGGAGGCAGGUCUACAUGAGCCCUUUGGAGGCCUGCAGGGAAGCCUCAGAUGAUAGUCAUUGGUCUGGGGUAUGUGAUAUCUGUCCUACUGGAUUUGGUUUUAUUUGUGAUAAUUGUUGAUAUUCCCUCUUGUCCUAAAACUGUUUACAUUAAGUUGUCAAAAGAUCAAGGGAGAUGAUGAGCUUUAAUUGUCAACUGUUAGAGGUUAGCAUCCUUGGGAAGGCAGUCUCAUUGAGGGCUUGUUUACAUUGGGUUGGGCUCGGUUCAGGUCUGGAGGGCCUGUCUUAAUUAAGCUAAUUGAUGUGGGGUGGGAGACACCAUUCCCUGGGCAGGCUUAAGAGUGGAGAAAUGAAGCUAAGCCCAAGCAAGGAAUGAUGCAUGCAGUUCCUUUCUCUGCUCUUCACUGUGGAGAUGAUAUGACGAGUUUCAGUCAAAUUCUUGUCUUCAAUUCUUCACACUGAUGGAUUAUACCUGGAAUAUAAGGAGGAACCAACCAAGCAAACAAACAACUCAUUUCUUUUCUAGCUCACUCCCCACCCCGUGGGGGUACUUUAUCCUAUCAACAGGAAUGGGUUUAAAACACUGUCUAAACAAAAAUGUUGUUUUACAGUUCCAAAUCUGUUAUUUUUAUAUUUAGUUAGAAUUUUCACACUACUUCAUAAAUGGAGUUAGACUUAGCAUGAAUCCAAGUGUUGAUAUCAUUUAGAAAUAAUAAUUUCAUAAAAAUUUAAAGAUUUGUCAAUAUAUGCUAUUAAUACGGUGUUUUAAAAGAGAUAUAUUCCUGUGGAGUUCCUAUCUCCUUCGAGGCCUGCAAUUCUUCCUUCUUGUUCACUUUUGGCUGUGGGUGUCUGUAUCUGUCUGAGUCAGCUGCAGAGUCAAGCCUCUCAGAGGCCAUCAUGCUCCUGCCUGCAAGUAGCAGAGUAUCAUUAAUAGCAUCAGGUAUUGGUGUUUGCACAUAUGUAGCAGAUGUGCAGCUUGGUCUUCAUGUGGGCCCUGAACAACUGGAGUGGGGCUGUCCCAAAAGCUGUUGCCAGUACAUGGGAUAUAUUCUUCUAGUUGGGCUGCCUUGUCUGGCCUCAGAGGAGAGGAAGCGACUAGCCUAGGAGAGACUUGAAGAGCCAGGGUGGGAGGAUCCCCGGGGAGCUCUACCCACUCAGAGGAAAAGUAGAGGGGAAUGGGGGAAGGAUUGUGGGAGGCAGCGAGUGGGAUGUAAAGUCAAUUAAAAAAGUAAAAAAUUAAAUUAAAUUAAAAAGAGUGAAUGAUUCUAUUUUAAAAGUAUGACUGCAUUUGUUCAUAAUGUUUCCAGUUACUAUAAAACAUGUUUGAGUUUCCACUGAGGUGUAAAUGGAUCUUUCGUCUAUACUAGAGGAGACAGGAAAUGUAAAGGUACUUUCUAGAGGAAAUGAGCCAUAGGCCUCAAGAUCCUAGUAACUGAUUUGCAAUGCAAUAUAUAUCAGAUUAUGCAAUGGAAUGCCUAUGAAUAGAUGUCUAUCAAGUUACUAGCAGACACAGUCCAUUAGAAAAUACAUGUAACCUACACAUUUUUGUGUAGCAUGAGGUCACUGUUGCCCUUUAUUGUGGCAAUGAUGAUUAUGAUGUUAAGUCAAAUAUUCUGAUUGGUUAAACUACACAGUCAGGAAGAAGUACUUGAUGAAAUACCCUUUAACGAUAGAUCCACAAUGAACUGAAUUUUAAUUGAAUAGUCAAAAACUUCGAAUACUAACUUUUAAUAUCACAAGAUGAGUGAGGAUUUUGGAGGAAUUCUAAUUUCAGAGUCACAUAAUAAGGAUUCCCACUGAGUAUGAAUCUCUAUAAAAUAGUAAUUCUGAACCAUUUAAAUGGCUGAAGUACCUGCUGACAAGGUUCUGGGAAAAGAGAGAAGCACAUAAAUCCUGUAUCAGAAACAAACAAUGCAUGUUUGGAAUGCUUUAUUUAAAAGAAAUUAUUGAAAUAAAAGAAUUAAAGUAUUUUUGUCAAAGCAUUUAAUGCUAAAUUACAUAGAGAUUGGAACUUGACAUUCAAACUAGCAAAAUAGUUCCUGGGCACUCAAGUCAACUUGACAAUAACGAUUUAGAUCGUAUCCUACUGGGGAUAAGGUUGGGACUAACCAGAGAAGUUAGCCCUGGUUCUUCAUAGGGCUUGGUGCUGAUUCAUCCACCAUGUCUCCAGAUGCUCCUGGGAUUCUGGCGAAGGUACCUUGACUGUGUACAGCUGUCACAGACAAGAGAGUAAGCAAGAGGCACUGAGUCUUUUAGGAUGUCAAUAGCAUGAACAUUGUUAGCGCUUUUAAGAAAAAUAGCCAUUGACUGCAAUGGAGCAACACUCAUCUUUAGACAUUCACUAUUUUUAAUGGCAUUUUAAUCAUUGUGCAGUGAGAACUUCAGUACAAAGCAAGACUGAGCUCACCACACUUAAAUUAUUCAUCUCUGUAUCUGGUGAACUGUCCAUCUCUUCCAGUCAGCCUUCCUACACAGUGUUUCUCCUGGAAGCCCACAGGUACCUAAAAGCUUCUUGAAGACUGCUUUUGAUUUCUCACUAUACAUGGCAUUAUUAGCUACAACCUCAAGCACAUUCAAGCUUCUGUAUGGUCACUUAGACACAAAGCAGAGCAUCUGUGUACCUGUGGCAUGAUGAGAUGAUGGGGCAACUGGCUUCUAUGUACACUGAAUUACAUCAGUAUUUGUCACGAUUAUUCCCAACCACCAGUAAAAAUUCAUGAAGUGCUAUAUAUGAUAAGUAUAAUAUGUGAAAUAUACCUAGCUAUUUUGCUAGUAGAAAUUAAAUAAAAGUAUGAGUCCUUCUGUAUUACUCUACAUCCCAAGUCCAUAUGGUUCCUCUUUUGUGAAAUCUACUUCAGUAAAUAUGGGAUGUUUUACCUAAUUCCUGUAUCUCCUAGCUAGCGAUUCUUCAAGACUUUAUGAGAAUGCUGAUGUUACAUGGUGUAAAAUAUUUACACAAGUAAUAAUUCCUUUCUUUAAGAAUUAAAAUUAGAAAUUUAAAGUCCUGUUUUUAAAAAGUACCUUGUUUCAUGAGCAUUUUGAUUGGAAAAAAAAAAUCUCUAUUCAUAUCACCAGCUUUCUACAUGUUUCCUCUUUGUCAAUUAAAUAUAAUCAAUUUUAAUUAUAUAUCUCUUCAGUAAAAAUAACAGCACUGAAUUGUAGUAAAACAUAUUUGAUACUGAAAUUGGAGAUUUUAUUAUUUUAAAUAUUUAUCACUUUAAACCUGUUCUGUCAAUAUUUUUUCAAGCUACAAUGAGCACAACGGAGAAGUUGGCUAGGCUGUUGAUAUCAGCAUGCAAAAGGCUCCAGAGAGCUUGAAGUAAUUGCUCUGCAGCUCAUGGUAUGUAUGGAUUGAUAUGCACAUAUGCACAUGAAUGUAAAGUGUUUAAUCAGAGAUGGAGACAGGCCAGCUGUAUACUGGUAAGUUGUUUAUUUUCAAAGCUGCUCAAUCACAGAAAAUUGCCUACACCCGGGACUGUAGUAUAGACUGGAAUAGAUUAAAUAUGCUCAGAGUACUGUCUACAGGAGCUUUUUCUGCACUUCACCUUUCAGGAUAGGGUUUCUGUGUCUAGAGAAGUGGUCCAACCUUUCCAACACCAUAACCCUUUAAUACAGUUGUUCAUGCUGUGGUGACCUUCAACCACAAUACCAUGUAAUACCAUAUGGUGUUUCAUAACUGUAAUUUUGCUAGUGUUAUGAACUGUAAGGUAAAUAUCUGAUAUGCAGGAUAUCUGAAAUGCAACCCGUGAAAGGUGGUUGCUCAACACCCUCAAAGAGUUGCAAGUCACAGGUUGAGAACCACGGGUUUAGACCUGCCAUGUGCUUCUCUUUACAUAUGUCAUCUCCUCAUUUAUCUCUGGCCCACUGAUAUGUUAUUUGUGGAGUCCCUACUGUUUGUGGAUGUUAUGUAUCGGGGUAUAUAUCUUAUUAUAGUUUCUAUCACCUUCUAGGAUGUCUAGGCAGAGACAUUGAAAACAUUUGAAAUAUUAUAAAUGAAUACACAAAGACAAAGAAAAUUAGCAGAAAGUGGUGUCUUUCAACGAGUGUCCAAAUGGCUAAAUUUGGAAAGCCACAUUUUACUAUGUACUAUACAUGACUAGGAUGAGGAAAAUCCCAUGCAGAACUGUACAAGUCUCUCACAGCCCAUUUCUGAAUGGCAUGUGGAGAAGUCUGUACCAUAUGUGGACGUCUUGGCUUCUUAUUUAUCUGAACUCUCUUUCCUCGGACUACAGAAGAGGCUCAAACUUCAGGGACCUUGACUAGCAUUGGUACUUCCUGAAGUACUGGCCUAGUUAGGGACAUUGGCCUAACAUAGCACCCAUUCAUUUCUUGCUCUUUUGAGAGUUCAUCACAUGUCAUUAUGCUACUUUGUCUUCAAGGACCUAGAUUUCCAAAUCUCUUUCCUUGAGAGUUUUAAUGGAAUCCUCCUGCGCACCUGGUUAGGAACGUGCAAGGAGGACACUUGGCACAGCGUGCAGGUGUUGAGGGUUCAGAUCUGGAAAUAGGUACACAGAUUCUUUCCCAUUCCAUAGGUCCAUACAUCAGGGGUGCUCAAGAUAAAGUCUCUGAGAUGAGUCAGUGGAUGUGCCCAAGAAAAGGAAAAGCAUCCUAGUAGCAAGCACUGUAAUUCUCAUUCAUAACUGGAAACAUUUCCAAAUAUAUCUGGGUUUUCAGUAAAACUACCCAAACGCUGCACUCUUCAGGAGUUCUGUUAAUAUGUGUGUGCCACUUUCAAGCCUAGAAAAGACAACGGGAGAGGAAAGAGGACAUGUACAAACAGACCAAAUAAACUAUGGUGCUGAGUCAUUAGGGGCAAGGUGGAGUAAAGAUACUGGAGGGAAGGUCCCUAUAGGUUGAUAGCUAUGGAAAAACAUUUUAUAAAUAUGCUCAUGAUUAUUCAUGUAUAUCAGUAGCAAUGUGUGAGUCUACACAUUUCCCCAGGGGUUGUAUCCUAUCUUCAGAAAAACAUGGUGGUGUUCUCCAGAUGAGAAAACAGCAGCAGAAUGAGCUUCAACUCGCACUCAGAAGCAGUUCUUUAUUCCCUUCCAUUCUGGCGCCUCCAAGUCUAAUAUUUCUCCUUGGGUCCUUUCUUCCUUUCUGUGUAUGGAAGAAAAACUGUGUCCCCUAAAUGCAUUCUCACAGGGUUAAAACAGCAGCCAGAGGUUCUUAAAAGGACUCGUGGGUGGUUGGAAUCUUAAAGGCAAGCAGGCAAUAAAGGUGUCUUGUGGUUUGGUUUUCAUGUCUCAUCUUUGCCUCACUCAGGUCAUGGUGAUCGUAGGGUCUUCAAAACAACUGGUAGCACUGAAAAUUUCCCAGACAUCUGGACAACUAGAUAUAGUUAGAGAGAAUGUCAUCUGCAAGGUGACGGUACUCCACCCACUCCCUAACGAAUGGAAUAGGUUGUGCUACUUGCUUUCACGGAGUCUGCCAUCUGCUUACACGUUGAUACAUAAACUUUCCUGGCAAAUUUCUCAAACUUACAUGUAUUACCAGUUAGCUUGUAAAAAUGAUAAGGUAUUUUAACAUCUGAUAUGUCUUAAAUAAGCCCUUGACUUGACAUAAAAUUAUUUGUUCUAUUUCUUCCCUUCAAAUAGCAAAUUUAAGGAUGCAGCUGAAGCAUGAUUCAAGACAAGAGAAAAGAACUCUACUAAGAACCAUUCAUUUCUGCAAGAAUUUUCAUAGAAAUGAAGUCAAGAGAAGCUAUCAAUGGUAGACAGGACAGUAAAUCCAAAUACCUCUCUUAGACCAAUACUAUUACAUUGCCACCCUGCUGGUCCAAAUUUAAUGCAAUAUCUAACACUAAGCAUGUUAUAAGUAACAACACAGAAAAUAUUAUCUGACCUAUACAUUUCACAAUCUAAUGAAAAUAGGUUUACAGUUCAUUUAUUUUAAAGUACUCAUAGGUUAGCUAUCAAAUUUACCAUGUAAACCCAUUUGUCACUUUGUAUUUUUUUGUAAACUGAAUGACUUUUCUUUUUCUAUACCAUUAAACUUAGC